rnacentral:rRNA from 1 species
GAUGAACGCUGGCGGCGUGCCUAAUACAUGCAAGUCGAGCGAACAGACGAGGAUCUUGCUCCUCUGACGUUAGCGGCGGACGGGUGAGUAACACGUGUAUAACCUACCUAUAAUACUGGGAUAACUUCGGGAAACCGGAUCUAAUACCGGAUAAUAUAUUGAACCGCAUGGUUCAAUAGUGAAAGACGGUUUUGCUGUCACUUAUAGAUGGAUCCGCUCCGCAUUAGCUAGUUGGUAAGGUAACGGCUUACCAAGGCGACGAUGCGUAGCCGACCUGAGAGGGUGAUAGGCCACACUGGAACUGAGACACGGUCCAGACUCCUACGGGAGGCAGCAGUAGGGAAUCUUCCGCAAUGGGAGAAAGCCUGACGGAGCAACGCCGCGUGAGUGAUGAAGGUCUUCGGAUCGUAAAACUCUGUUAUUAGGGAAGAACAAAUGUGUAAGUAACUAUGCACGUGUUGACGGUACCUAAUAAGAAAGCCACGGCUAACUACGUG